ensembl:snoRNA small nucleolar RNA SNORA2/SNORA34 family
AUGGCCCUGAAUCAUGGCUGGCAGUUUUCUGAAGCUGUUAGUUUCAAGCAGGAGCUUAAAGUAGUUUUCUUCUAUGGUCUGUUGAUCAUUUUAGAACUUUAGAAAUGUAAUGAUCUCCUCAUUAAAAAGAAACAACU